UCAAGUUGUGAGAGCUAACCACCUCAAUCGGUCCCCGUAAGUUCAGCGUGAUACGCUCCACUACAUUUUCAACUCUACACAUAGACAUGUCGUAUACUCGCUGCGGCAAUGAAUCAUGUCACUUCAUGCGGUCCCUGCAUGAUCCAAAAAGAAACUAUGCAACGGUUUACAAGUAUUCAAUCUGUUACAUUGCACAACCACACAUAUACCUUAACCCUUUACCUACACAUGUUAUAAACCCACGCAAUACAAAUACUGAGGUGCAAGUCUCAAUCACCCUACAACCAAAUUCAUUUUAACAACCUAUGAGUAGAUUUGGUGUUCACACAACGAUACUAGUUUAUAUAUAUGUUAUAGUUCACUUAUCAACCAAAUACGUGUAUGCUUAUACGUAUGUAUGAAAGGUUUAGAUAGAAACUCCUACAAAGAAAUGAGAAUGAAAGAAAGAAGAAAGAUCACCUCUUCAAUGUUCACAAGGAUGUGAUUUACCGGUUUCCAUAGACCGAAUAUUAGCUUAUAUGUGGUUUCCGAACCUCUCCUUGUUCGUUUGUUACCUUUGCAAACAAGUUUUUAUGGUUUUGUUUUAUAAAGCAACUUAAAGAAAAAAAUUCUAAAUGACAGAAGUAAAUAAAUUUUCUUGGGUUUUUAUUUU
rnacentral:lncRNA from 1 species